ACCCAGUUCUUGAAGCUUGUCUUAGAGCAGAACACAAGUGUGGUAGAUUCACUACGGAUCAGGAAUCUUCUCUUGUUCAUGUCCCAUGUGACACUCCAGAACCUACACAGGAGAGCAACCAAAUUUUUGAUUCUGUAAAUACAGCUGACGACAGCAGCUGUACAAUGAACACCUCUACUAAAUCUAUUCCUCCUCUGGUAACAGACGUGUGGUUGCUCCUGAUCAUACCCGUGGUGUGGUUGCUAGCACUCAUCCUAUUGUUUAUGUCAAGGACAUGACAACUAGUCCACCGAGUGUUCCGAAGAGCUCCCAGCAACUAAAAGAAUGAAAAAGUUGCUGCUGUAGCAGAACAUUAAUUCUUUAAAAGAAGAACACAUCAAGUAUCAAUCUGUAAGGAAGAUUUUAUAAAAAAUAGAAAUUGUAAAUUUAAAUAUUUAUCUGAAAGGUGACACAGUAUAUAUUGAAUUCUGUAUGUGUUUGUAAUAUUUUCCCAUUAAAAUGCAUUAUGCAAAUA